rfam:Ictidomys tridecemlineatus contig101573, whole genome shotgun sequence.
GGGGGUAUAGCUCAGUGAUAGAAUACUUGUGUACUGGGCAUGAGGCCUGAGUUUGAUUCUCAGCACCACCA